CAAGGAGAAAGGACUGGCUGUCAAGGAGAAAGGACAGGCAGUGGAAGUGCUAGCACUUGGGACAGAGCAGUGCUACUAGCAGGGACCAGGGAAACUACAGAGAGCUCCUAUCUCAUUGCUAAGACUGGCAUGCUCAGGCCCUGAGGUAAGGGCAGAAAAGGUGCUGGGACUGUGGGAAAGUGGUCCAGGGAAACGUAUUGAAAGGUUGGAGAGUAUGCAGCAUAUGCCAUCUACAGGGUCCCUGGGCUGGGACCUGGAGUAGUGGGUGGGCCUGAGUCCCUCCCUCACCCCCACUUGCCACUGAGGUAGUGGCUGGACAGUUGGACUGUGGUACUGGCCCCCAGAAAGGGGGAGCACAGAGUGUGGCACAGCUGGAGGGCUGUGUCAUGAAGAGGAUGCCACUGUCUUUGAAGUGAUGGCAGGUGAGAUGCUAUUGGGAGUGAGCAUACUGUCCUGCGGAGCUGAUCCCCAAGACGACCAGCAGAAGUUUCUAGCAGGUGAUUGUUUUGCAUCAUUAGAAGAAAAGAAAAGCCAAAGGCUGUGUUUUUCAAACAUUCUUCAGACAGAUCAAGGACUAGAGGUUGAUAUAUUGUCACACCUUUAGGAGAGGAGAAAUUCAAGUAAAUAUGUGAGGAUGUCUUCAAUAAUUCUGAAUAGAACAGCUGCAGUUGUAUUCGAAGAUUCAGAAAAACCUACAAAAGACCUCAUGAAUUUCUAAACACUAAUGAAACAUAACAUAUGCAGAAUAACAUCUGCUCAUGUCUACUAAGGUCUAUUGUUGCAUCUGCCAUGACAAAGGAUUUCACAGAAUGUGUACUGUUUAUGUGUUUUCUAAACACUCUGUGACAAUUUCUACAGUUCAUUUGUACAUACAUGAAUAUCUUUCCACACAAGCCCUCUGCAAUCAAAUAAGAAUUAAGAGGAAAAUCUGUUCUUCUUUUAGUCUUUUCUAGAUAUUGGAGCUUUCCUCUGAAAAUGAAUUGCAAUUACCCAAUGUGCAAAAAGCAUUGAUGAGACAAUUGUGAGCCAAAAGAUUAGUCUCCUCUUACGUUUAUUCUUUUCUUUCCUGUUGUAUUGAUGUGUUUAUAGAGUUUGACCAGAAGGGGCCAUCAGGUACCUCACUCGUCACAGACAUCUUUCUCUGGCUGUAGGCAUCGCUGUAGAGCCAGUUUAGAAUUUGGAAUGUGAGCUUCCAGCCUUAAGUGUUAGGGAGGUGGCAACCCCCUUUCUAGAUGUAAAGCAGUCCAGAAAUGGGAAACGAAUUAACACUGCAGCCCACAAAACUGUCCAGGCUUACCAGCAAUUUCCUGCAAGGAAAGAGCCUCUGUGGGGGAGGUCUGGGCCCCUAACCCAUUGUAUCCAAGGACCCAGGCUGAGCACCCUGGGUUCUAAACAAAAAGGGAGAAACAAAGUAAAGAAGGUCUUCUAAUUCCCAGCGGGUCCAGGUGGCAGAGCCUCUUCAGGUGUCUUCCUCAUAAGCAGUCUCUGCACUGUGGAACUAGGGAGCUCUAGCUCUGCUUAUCUCUGAACGCACUGAGCUGGGAUCCCCUCUUUUUAAGAAGCUGCCCCUCUCAAGGUUUGACAGGUCUCUCCGGUGCACUGGGUUGGCUCUGAUCACGCCCAGAGGAGCUCUUUAACUCCUUUCUGUCUGGGGAGGGAACCUGUUCAACCACAGAAGGCUUUCCAAAGUUUUCUCCCAGGAAUGCUUUUUCUGUGUGUGCUGAAUUCCCAUGCCCAAAGAAACAUCAUAGGCCUUUCAAUAAUACUGAUAAUACUAGUAUGUCAUUAAUAUAAACGAUAGCACUGUAUUGCCUUAAGUAAUGUGCUUAGUCCAGUCACUUCAUUUGCGGGCUGUGGGGGGUAGGGGAGGAAGAGAUGCACCAGAAAUGGAGAAGUCCGGUGAUGCAAAUUAUUAAAGGCAUGGAGAAUCUUCCAUAUAAGCAGAGAUUCAAAUUAUUUUCACAUUCAUUAUCAUUAUAGGUAUCUGUAAUGUUAGGAACUAUAAUCUUAUCGCCUGCUAUUUGACCUUUUAAUUCCUAUCUGUUAGAACAGAAUGUAUCUUUUUGACAGCCACCAGCACUCCUGAAAUGUGUUUAUUUGAUAAAAUGCCCAGUCACAAAAAUGUCAACAGAUGUAGCACCAAAGUAGUACAGAUGAGGGACUUUAUGCAAAAAUAUAGCAUUAGUGGUGUUGCAGUGUCCAUUUAAACCUUGUGCUCCCUGUACUUAUGCACUACUGAAAUCAGGAUAACAUCUCCUGAGUGAGUAGGAUGUUAGCCUAAUAGACAGGAACAUCUGUGCCUGUUAUCAAGAUAGUGUGGUGGUGUUGCCUGUUGGAUUUUGAAGAGUAGGGUUCCAAAGCAAGUAAUGUUAAAAAUGGCAGACACACCUGAACUGCUGAAUAGGCUAUUGUUUCUUCACCUGGGAUGUACAUUAACUUCCAAGAACAUCACUAUACAGUUUCUGUUGCCAUGAAAAAAUGAGCUUUAGAUCUUGUGCAUAAUGAUUAGUGUUCCAUCUGGAGGAAUGGGGUAUUCGGUAAAGAUGUUACAGUGAAAUUUACCCCCUAUUUUGCUAUUCAGAAGAUCCCAGCAGCUCUGUAUAAAACAGUUGCAUAGAACAAAGAGAUGCCAGUUGCAAAGAGUUUUCAAGAGUAACAUUAAGACCAGCAAGUUCAACUGAAUUAACUUAUUGAGCAAGUUUCAAGCUCCCGUCCCUUCUCUUAUAUUAUGAGAAGAUUUUCUCUGGAAGAAAUUGAUAAUGGCAGUAUUGUAACAUGCAGGUUUAGAAAUGCUUCACUUCUGCUUUUGUGGACACUAAGCUGCCUGGGGGCUGUGUAGUUAAAAUAAAAGUAUUGCAAUGAGAAAUCAUGUUGUAUUUGCAUCCAUUUAGGUACAAUGCCAACAGCAGGAGUUUCCUUUUUACUUUGAUCACCUUUGCAACUUGUAGGAUAUCCUUGUUGCUACACAAUUCACUUGUGCCAGUAAGGUGCCCCUACCUCAACCCCAUUCCACUAUUCGAUCCCUUCCCACAUUUUAUUCUUCAAGUAGUUUAUUUAAUGUAACGCUUUUGGCACUGAGUUUUCUGUUAAUAUAUUUCUGUAAGUUUGCCUGGCCUGAUUCACAUCUCAUUUAUGCUGGCAUAGAUCAUGAGUAAUAGCUCCAUUGUUGUGAGGUCAGAUUUGGAUAUGUUAUGCACCUCGAUUGCAUUAGGUUUUCUUCCCCUUUCUCGUUUCCUUCACUCCUUCCUUCUCUUUGGCUGGAGCUCCUGGUGCAUCUUUUCCUCCUCCUUUUUCUGUAUUUCCAAUCAAAAUUUUUGUCUGUCUGUGUUCCGUCAGUCCUUUAUUUUUUCUCUUCAGUGAGAUCCCCAACAUGUACUUGGUCCCCAUUCUCUAUCACCUAAACUCUCAUUCCACACUAGUACUUCUCUCCAAGAUAUAUACACCUACUCACCUUCAUGAGACCUCCCAGACAAAAACUCGCAGGGGGCUAGUGGGGAAAGGAACCCCUCCUCCCAAUAGAAAUGGCUCCUGGGGAGAGUGUGUUAAGCUGGGUCCACAGACUAAUCACUGAUCUUGACUCCUCUCAUAAUGCUUGGUCUAGUUUCUGAUGGUUCUCCCAGAGAUGGCAUGACAGAUGAGACAUGAGCAUGUGAUUGCAUAUCCAAGGCACAGUCCUUCACUGUCAAAUGAACUCCUGUACUAUGCUCUCCAAAUUAAACUUGCAUCCUGCACCCUAGCUGCCCAAGUUUCCAGUUUUAAUGUCUCAGGCCCCUGACUGGGAUCCCCAUUUGGGAUCCUAGCACCUUCCCAUAACUGGAGGAGGAGGAAAGAGAGAACAACUUGCAAUGGUGCGAGUAAAUGGGCUAGAAUAGGAGUCCUUUGCUGGUGGCUCUGUCCUCUAGACAAGCCAGGCAGUCUGGGCGGAAAAUCCCUGAUCAGUUGUCUUCAUCUCCCUGGUAUUUUAUAAAAAUAUUUUUUUAAACCUUACAAUAAAAAUCCUUUAUAGUUCACCUUUAAAACAUGGAGCUUACUGACAAAGGUAGAAAUAUUAUGAAAGACGAAAUCUUGAAUUCUGUUCUUCACCUCCCAGCCAUAUGAAAUGGCAACAAGUUUAUAAAGCUGUUGCAUACUAGAUCCACCGUUUUAAGUGAACUCCUUCCAGUGACUUGUUCUGCCAGCAUGGGAGCCACUUGAAUAAUUUUUGUACAAAUAUCGCUAAGGAAUGUCGGUAUCUCUGAUUGUGAAAUAAAACCAUCAGUAAUAGUAGGGCUAAUAUUGAACCAGGCAUCUAAAACUCACACGUAAGCAGGCAUCAGAGACACUAGAUGUAAUGCACUAUAUAUGCUCUCUGAUUCACAGGCUUUAUGGCCAGAAGGGACCAUUAUGUUAGUCUGAUCUUCUGCAUAACAUAGGCCAAAGAACAUCAUCCUAUUUCUGCAUCAAGCUCAUAAAUUCUGUUUGAGCCAUAGCAUAUCUCUUAGAAAGGUAGCCAAAGCUAAGAGCUACAAAGGCUCACUGAAUGUUGGGAGCGGUCAUCUCCCUGGAAUCAAAAUCAAGUCACACUCCUCACCCCUGUACACUAGCGAGUGACCCAGAAAAUCUGCCUUGUGUUAUCUGAACACAGCACUUUUUUGGAAUAUCUGACAGAAAUGACAUUGUUAUAUGCUGAGAGCUGAAUUAUUAUAAUUUUUCCAAUUGCGGCAUAUUUUUAAAUAUAUAUUUUCCAGAGAUAGCUAUGUAAUAGUUACAGGCAUACUUCGAAUGAGCCUAUUAUCAUAAAACUGCUGUUAAAUGACUGUAACAA